rnacentral:misc_RNA from 1 species
CGUCAUUAUCAACCUUCAAGCCUGGCUUGCUGUUGGACCUCUCGUCGUUAAAGACGGGUCCUAAAGUUAAUGGCGGAGUCAUCGGACCCUAGAUGCAACGAGCUCUCGUAGCACGCAUUUAAGGGGCUGGCGGCUCUAGUCUCAACCCACAUCAUUUACAAGGUUGACCUCGGAUCAGGUAGGAAUACCCGCUGACUUAA